GACGAACCGUGCAAACGUUAUUCGGAAUCACUGGGCAUAAAGGGCGCGUAGGCGGCUUUCUAAGUCAGGGGUGAAAUCCGGCAGCUCAACUGUCGCAGUGCCUUUGAUACUGGAGAGCUCGAAGGAGGUAGGGGUCUGUGGAACUUCCGGUGGAGCGGUGAAAUGCGUUGAUAUCGGAAGGAACGCCGGUGGCGAAAGCGACGGACUGGAUCUCUUCUGACGCUGAGGCGCGAAAGCCAGGGGAGCAAACGGG
rnacentral:rRNA from 1 species